rnacentral:rRNA from 1 species
AAAUUGAAGAGUUUGAUCAUGGCUCAGAUUGAACGCUGGCGGCAGGCCUAACACAUGCAAGUCGAGCGGAAACGAGUUGUCUGAACCUUCGGGGGACGAUAACGGCGUCGAGCGGCGGACGGGUGAGUAAUGCCUAGGAAAUUGCCCUGAUGUGGGGGAUAACCAUUGGAAACGAUGGCUAAUACCGCAUGAUGCCUACGGGCCAAAGAGGGGGACCUUCUGGCCUCUCGCGUCAGGAUAUGCCUAGGUGGGAUUAGCUAGUUGGUGAGGUAAGGGCUCACCAAGGCGACGAUC